rnacentral:rRNA from 1 species
AACGAACGCUGGCGGCGUGCUUAACACAUGCAAGUCGAACGGUGAACGAGGGAGCUUGCUCCCUCCGGAUCAGUGGCGAACGGGUGAGUAACACGUGAGCAAUCUGCCCCGAACUCUGGGAUAAGCGCUGGAAACGGCGUCUAAUACCGGAUACGACGCGCGAAGGCAUCUUCUGCGCGUGGAAAGAAUUUCGGUUCGGGAUGAGCUCGCGGCCUAUCAGCUAGUUGGUGAGGUAACGGCUCACCAAGGCGACGACGGGUAGCCGGCCUGAGAGGGUGACCGGCCACACUGGGACUGAGACACGGCCCAGACUCCUACGGGAGGCAGCAGUGGGGAAUAUUGCACAAUGGGCGCAAGCCUGAUGCAGCAACGCCGCGUGAGGGACGACGGCCUUCGGGUUGUAAACCUCUUUUAGUAGGGAAGAAGCGAAAGUGACGGUACCUGCAGAAAAAGCACCGGCUAACUACGUGCCAGCCGCCGCCGUAACAC